CUAGACUCCUACGGGAGGCAGCAGUGAGGAAUAUUGGUCAAUGGGCGAGAGCCUGAACCAGCCAAGUCGCGUGAGGGAAGACGGUCCUAUGGAUUGUAAACCUCUUUUGCCGGGGAGCAAAAAGCGGUACGUGUACCGCAUCGAGAGUACCCGGAGAAAAAGCAUCGGCUAACUCCGUGCCAGCAGCCGCGGUAAUACGGAGGAUGCAAGCGUUAUCCGGAUUUAUUGGGUUUAAAGGGUGCGUAGGCGGAAUAUCAAGUCAGCGGUAAAAUUGAGAGGCUCAACCUCUUCGAGCCGUUGAAACUGGCAGUCUCGAGUUGGAGAGAAGUAUGCGGAAUGCGCGGUGUAGCGGUGAAAUGCAUAGAUAUCGCGCAGAACUCCGAUUGCGAAGGCAGCAUGCCGGCUCCACACUGACGCUGAGGCACGAAAGCGUGGGUAUCGAACAGGAUUAGAUACCCCCGUA
rnacentral:rRNA from 1 species